GGUAGAGUAAGGGCUAGUCUUGCAGCUGUGUUCACUUUCACUUGCCGUGGCAUUCUGGGCUACUCCACCCAACUUCCACUCCCUCAGGGUUUUUUGGGAUCAGAGAUGGAUUUUCCAGUCGGAAAUGUAUCGUUCUUCUUGUUCUUCUCCGGUCACAUGGCCGGAUCGGUGAUAGCGUCGUUGGACAUGCGGCGGAUGCAACGGUGGGGGUUGGCUUGGACAUUCGACAUCCUCAACCUCCUCCAAGCCAUUAGAUUGUUGGGUACUAGAGGUCAUUACACUAUCGAUUUAGCCGUUGGCGUCGGGGCCGGAUUUCUUUUUGAUUCCCUUGCUGGACAUUAUGAAGCCAGCCUGAGGAAGAACCUUGACAAUCAGUUAGCUAAAACUUUUGCUUAGUUGCUUC
rnacentral:misc_RNA from 1 species